rnacentral:rRNA from 1 species
CCUACGGGUUGCAGCAGUGGGGAAUAUUGCACAAUGGGCGCAAGCCUGAUGCAGCCAUGCCGCGUGUAUGAAGAAGGCCUUAGGGUUGUAAAGUACUUUCAGUUGGGAGGAAGGCGUUGAUGCUAAUAUCAUCAACGAUUGACGUUACCAACAGAAGAAGCACCGGCUAACUCCGUGCCAGCAGCCGCGGUAAUACGGAGGGUGCAAGCGUUAAUCGGAAUUACUGGGCGUAAAGCGCACGCAGGCGGUUGAUUAAGUUAGAUGUGAAAUCCCCGGGCUCAACCUGGGAACUGCAUUCGAAACUGGCAGGCUAGAGUCUUGUAGAGGGGGGUAGAAUUCCAGGUGUAGCGGUGAAAUGCGUAGAGAUCUGGAGGAAUACCGGUGGCGAAGGCGGCCCCCUGGACAAAGACUGACGCUCAGGUGCGAAAGCGUGGGGAGCAAACAGGAUUAGAUACCCCAGUAGUC